GACGAACCGUGCGAACGUUAUUCGGAAUCACUGGGCUUAAAGCGCGUGUAGGCGGGACGGCACGUCGGUCGCUGAAAGCCCCCGGCUCAACCGGGGAACGGGCGCCGAUACGACAGUCCUGGAGGGACGUAGGGGGACCUGGAACAUCCGGUGGAGCGGUGAAAUGCGUUGAGAUCGGAUGGAACGCCCGUGGCGAAAGCGAGGUCCUGGACGUUUUCUGACGCUGAGACGCGAAAGCCAGGGGAGCGAACGGG
rnacentral:rRNA from 1 species